GUGAGCGAUGAAGGCCUUCGGGUCGUAAAGSUCUGUUGUUAGGGAAGAACAAGUAUCGGAGUAACUGCCGGUACCUUGACGGUACCUAACCAGAAAGCCACGGCUAACUACGUGCCAGCAGCCGCGGUAAUACGUAGGUGGCAAGCGUUGUCCGGAAUUAUUGGGCGUAAAGCGCGCGCAGGCGGUCCUUUAAGUCUGAUGUGAAAGCCCACGGCUCAACCGUGGAGGGUCAUUGGAAACUGGGGGACUUGAGUACAGMAGAGGAAAGCGGAAUUCCACGUGUAGCGGUGAAAUGCGUAGAGAUGUGGAGGAACACCAGUGGCGAAGGCGGCUUUCUGGUCUGUAACUGACGCUGAGGCGCGAAAGCGUGGGGAGCAAACAGGAUUAGAUACCCUGGUAGUCCACGCCGUAAACGAUGAGUGCUAAGUGUUAGGGGGUUUCCGCCCCUUAGUGCUGCAGCUAACGCAUUAAGCACUCCGCCUGGGGAGACG
rnacentral:rRNA from 1 species